rnacentral:lncRNA from 1 species
AGAGCGGCCUGCUGGCCCCGCCUGCCCUGGGCAGUGAAGGGCUUAGCACCUGGUCCAGCAGCUGCUGUGCUCGAGUUCUCGCGGGGCCUUAGCUGCCUCCCCGCGGGGCAGGGCUUGGGACCUGCAGCCCGCCAUGCCUGAGCUUCCCCCCGCCCCCGCCGUGGGCUCCUGUGCGGCCCGAGCCUCCCCGACGAGCGCCGCCCCCUGCUCCACGAUGCCCAGUCCCAUCGACCACCCAAGGGCUGAGGAGUGCGGGCUCACGGUUACAGGAUUCCCAUUUCAGAACUACGACCAUUUGAAAAAUAGAAGAUUUAAAGAUUGACGCAAAGUGCAUGUACCAUGAUACACCAGAUAUUUUGCUUUUUCAUGCUUCAAGUGCUUCAAAUAUCACAUCAGCUAUUGCAUUCUUCCCCACUGGGAAACCCUCCCAGUUCACCAUGGCUGAAAGGUUUAAAAGCUGGCUUGGCACUUGUGCCAGGGGCAGUGUGCUCUGUCAGCAGUGAUGGGUUCUUCAUUGCAACCUGCGCAGUGAGUGAUGCAAUUCCCAAACCCCAUCUUAUUCCUUCCUUCCUGGGACCACUCCAGGAAGUGAGUCAGAGCUUGGAGUACAAGAUACUUUUUAAGAGUCAACAUCAGUAAGGGAAAAGGGAACAAAGCAAGCUGGAUUAGACAAACUGCAGGACCAAGAAAGCCUCUGUCACCCAGAGGGGAUCUCUGCAAUGAAAUUGCUCAUCAUCUUUGUACCACAUCAAACCAAAUUUUCAAACUUUUAGAGCUUUGGGCAAGGUGACUUUCUGCAUAGGAGGCUGGUCCUGAAGGAAUUGACACCUGGAGUCUGUUCAGUGACUGCAUUCUCUGAAGCUCUACAUAGAUGUCUUCCUUGAAGUGUGACCUAGGUGUGAUGUCUUCAUGUCUACCACACACCACCAAAAAAAGUAAUGCUAUAUUAGUAACAAUGUUUUUCAUAAUGUCCUAAAUCUGGGAACUACCUAAUGUAUCAAAUUGAAAUGCAUAAAUAUAAUGCAGAAUAUUGAUAUAAUGUUAUAGCAUUGAUAUUUGAUAGGGUUUGGCUGUGUCCCCACCCAAAUCUCAUCUUGAAUGCCCACAUGUUGUGGGACAGAACUUGUAGGAGGUAAUUGAAUCAUGAAGGCAGGUCUUUCCCAUGCUGUUCUCGUGAUAAUGAAUAAGUCUCACAAGAUCUGAUGGUUAUAUAAGAAGGAGUUUCCCUGAACAAGCUUUCUCUUUACCUGCUGCUAUCCAUGUAGAAUAAGACUUGCUCCUCCUUGCCUUCCACCAUAAUUGUGAGGCCUCCCAAUCCAUGUGGAACUGUAAGUCUAUUAAACCUCUUUCUUUAGUAAAUUACCCAGUCUUUGGUAUGUCUUUAUCAGCAGCGUGAGAACAGACUAAUACAGUAAAUUGGUACCAAUAGAGUGGGUCGCUGCUGAAAAGAUACCCAAAAAUGUGGAAGGGACUUCGGAACUGCAUAACAGGCAGAGAUUGGAACAGUUUGGAGGGCUCAGAAGAAGACAGGAAAAUGUGAGAAACUGUGGAACUCUCUAGAGACUUGUGAAAUGGCUUUCACCAAAAUGUCGAUAAUGAUAUUGGCAAUGAAAUCUAGGCUGAGCUUAUCUCAGAUGGAGAUGACGAACUUGUUGGGAACUGGAGCAAAGGUGACUCUUGUUAUGUUAUAGCAAUGAGACUGGCGGCAUUUUGCCCCUACACUAGAUAUUUCUGAAACUUUAAACUUGAGAGAGAUGAUUUAGGGUAUCUUCCAGAAGAAAUUUCUAAGCAGCAAAACAUUCAAGAGGUAACUUGGGUGCUGUUAAAGGCAUUCAGUUUUACAAGGGAGGCAGAGCAUAAAAUUUUGGAAAAUCUACAGCCUGAAGAUGUGCUAGAAAAGAAAAUCCCAUUUUCUGAGGAGAAAUUUCAAGCUGCCUGCAAAAAUUUGCUUAAGUAACAAAGAGCCAAAUGUUAAUCCCCAAGACAAUGGGGAAAAUGUUUCAAGGACAUGUCAGAGGACUUCAUGGCAGCCUCUCCCAUCACAGACUCAAAGGCCUAGGAGGAAAAAAUGGUUUCUUGGGCCAGGCCCAGGGUCUGUAUGCUGUGUGCAGCCUAGGGACCUGGUGCCCUGCAUCCCAGCUGCUACAGGCAUGGCUGAAAGAGGCCAAUAUAGAGCAUGGGCCGUCGCUUCAGAGAGUGCAAGCCCCAAGCCUUGGCAGCUUCCACAUGAUGUUGAGCCUGCGAGUGCAACGAAGUCAAGAAUUGGGGUUUGAGAACCUCCACCUAGAUUUCAGAAGAUGUAUGGAAAUGCCUGGAUGCCCUGGCAGAAAUUUUGCUGCAGGGGUGUGGCCCUAAUGGAGAACCCCUGCUAAGGCAGUGUGGAAGGGAAAUGUGGGGUUGGAGCCCUUCACACAGAAUCUCUACUGGGGCAUUUCCUAGUGGAACUGUGAGAAGAGGGCCACCAUCCUCCAGACCCCAGAAUAGUAGAUCCACUGAGAGCUUGCACCGUGCGCCUGGAAAAGCGCCAGCACUCAACACCAGCCCAUGAAAGCAGCCGAGAAGGAGACUGUACCUUACAAAGCUACAGGGGUGGAGCUGCCCAAGACCAUGGGAACUCAUCUCUUGCCUCAGCAUGACCUGGAUGUGAGACAUGGAGUCAAAGGAGACCAUUUUAGAGCUUUAAUAUUUGACUGCCCUGCUGGAUUUCAAACUUGCAUGGGGCCUGUAGCCCCACUCUUUUGACCAAUUUCUCCCAUUUGAAAUGGAUGUAUUUACACAAUGCCUGUAACCCCAUUGUAUCUAGGAAGCAACUAACUUGCUUUUGAUUUUACAGGCUCAUAGGCUGAAGGGACUUGCCUUGUCUCAAAUGAGACGUUGGACUGUGGACUUUUGAGUUAAUGCUGAAAUGAGAUAGGUCUUUGGGGUACUAUUGGGAAGGCAUAAUUGGUUUUGAAAUGUAAUGGCAUGAGAUUUGGGAGGGGGUGGGGUGGAAUGAUACGGUUUGUCUGUGUACCCACCCAAAUCUCAUCUUGAGUUCCCUCUCUUGUGGGAGGGACCUGGUGGGAGGUAAUUGAAUUAUGGGGUCAGAUCUUUUCUGUGCUGUUCUCAUGAAUAGUGAAUAAGUCUCACAAGAUUUGAUGGUUCUAUAAGGGGGAGUUUUCCUGCAUAAGCUCUCUCUCUACCAUCCAUGUAAGAAGUGAUUUUCUCCUCUUUGCCUUCCACCAUACUUGUGAGGCCUCCAGAGCCAUGUGGAACAAGUUCAUUAAGUGUCUUUCUUUUGUAAAUUGGCCAGUCUCAGGUAUGUUUUUAUCAGCAGCAUGAGAACAAACUAAUACAAGCCUAUAGAAGUAACAAUUAACAUAGAUACUCUAUACAAGAGCGUAGGUCCAUUUAACAAACAUAUUACUUAGGAAAAAGACAAAAUACUGUCUAUGAUGCCAUUCAUAUAAAAUUUAAAAACAACCAUAACAUGUCUAUGAUGCCACACAGUAAGGAAAGCAGGGCAUGUGGUAGCCACAUCUCCCUUUAAAAAAAUGUCUGGAGAGGCCUGCAGUCACUUUACCCUCAUCCAAGCUGCACCCUCUUAUUGGUCUCUUAAAUGGGGCAAUGAGAAUACAGGAAUAGCACAGAUUAAAGAUAGUAAGAGUGUCUGCAAUAUUCCAUACAGUCUUGUACUCCAUCUUAUUAAAACAAAACCACCCAUGUCCUCAGUUUUGUGACCCAUUAUGUUUCUUCUUUGGCUGAAACUAUUUUGAGUUGCUUCCCAGACACUUGUCUUAUAAAGGGCCUGCAAUGCACAGACUCUUAGAAACCAGUGCCCAGUUUAUAUCAUCAGUUUGACUUUUGGAGAAACUGGGGAAGGUAGAUAAAAUUAUAUAUAUAUACAAACACGCACACACACAUAUAUAUAUACACACACACAUAUAUAAUAACGCAUCUAUGAUGCAUAUAUAUAAUGCAUAUGCACAUGUAUGGUACAUAUAUGAGGCAUAUAUAUACAUCAUAUGUGUGUCAUACAUUUAUCAUUUAUAUAUGUAUCAUAUAUGUAUGUAAAUAUUUUAUUCCUUUUACUGUGUCAGAUGUCCAUUUGGGAAAAUAAUAAGAUUAAUGAGAAAAUAUGAAAUAAGCUUUUGGUAUAGUACUGUUCAAUGAAAUUUUAUGAAUGCCUGUCUUAUUUCAAAACAGUGCACUUAAUAAGAAUAAUCAAUCUCAUAUUACCUUCCAGUUUUAAUGUUAGUGAAUAAGACUGAUAAUUUAAUAAAUCUUAGGAUGAUGGUGUGUAUAUAGUCUCUAAGUAACAUGGUGAAGACCAGUUGGUUAAGCCUGGUGAUGCAGCAACUCAAUUGUAAGAACUAAACUGUAACAAUUGAACUUAAAUAAAAGACAAAUGAAUGAAAAAAAUUAUAUUUUAAUGCUCAAAAUUAUUCUUCAUUGUUGUUGGAGGUAUGAAUAACAGAAAAUGAAUUAUGUUAUUUCCUAAGCAUAUAAUGGGUAGAAAUAAGAAUGUCUUUUGAAAUUUUUUUUACCAGUUUAAAAAUAUGACAUUAAAAUUGCAUUUGUGCAGGAAAUAAUACAACGGGUAUGAAAGAAAGAAAAAGAAAAGUUUUUUGCUGUGAGGAAUAUAUUUUUUCUCCUAAGGAUAUGUCACUUUCACCCAAGUAAUCUGGUUGCCACAUUGCAAUAUUUCACCUGACAAUAAAAAAAUCAUUGUAUGUUAUUCUUCUUCUGUCCCUGGAGAAUAUGAACGUUAAUGAUAACAGCAUUGUGUCUACCUAAAUGAAAACAAAAACCUAAUUGUAAUAAUCCAGUACAUACAAGUGUGCCAUAAUGAAAAAUAAAGUAAAAUAUUUAUU